ACUGGCCUUGGGCCGCUCCCGGGAGUCAGUCGCUUGCGAUGAUGCUGCCGGGAACGCUUAGCCCUUGACUAUCACCUUGACUAUGUGCACCUUUUGUUGUUUCCUCGGCAGGUCCCCUGCCGCCAGGAACCCCACAACCCUUUUGCAUUAGCAUCCAAACCUCUGAAAACAAAACAAAUUAUUUA
rnacentral:misc_RNA from 1 species